GAUGAAGAACGUAGCGAAAUGCGAUAAGUAAUGUGAAUUGCAGAAUUCAGUGAAUCAUCGAAUCUUUGAACGCACAUUGCGCCCCCUGGUAUUCCGGGGGGCAUGCCUGUCCGAGCGUCAUUACAACCCUCAAGCUCAGCUUGGUGUUGGGCCCCGCCGCCCCGGCGGGCCCUAAAGUCAGUGGCGGUGCCGUCCGGCUCCGAGCGUAGUAAUUCUUCUCGCUCUGGAGGUCCGGUCGUGUGCUCGCCAGCAACCCCCAAUUUUUUUCAGGUUGACCUCGGAUCAGGUAGGGAUACCCGCUGAACUUAAGCAUAUCAAUAAGCGGAGGGA
rnacentral:misc_RNA from 1 species